AUUUACGUAGUUUAAACAAAACAUUGUGUUUUCAUCACAAAAAUAAACAUAUUGUUUCAUAAAUA